CAGGUCGGCCCUGGUCUCUGCUCCCCUCCGUUGCCUUUGGAAUUUGCCCUCAGACCUGGACCCUACCAGGGAACAGCGGGAUUGUCUGAUGGAAUUCCACGUGCAAACCGAGAGAGGUUUUGCCAUAAAUUCUAGUCCGGCCCCGGGAGGAGGGCCACGCCUGGGCCCCACUCCCCAUCACCCUCCCGCCUCCCAGACCCCCGGCACAGGGCCUCCCCAGGCCGUGCCCCGGGCUGCCCCUGGGAGCGCUAUGCAAAUGAGAUGCAAAGUAGGCCGAGGCAGCCGCAAAGAUUGGCUGCCGCAGAGGCUCAGUCCGCCCAAUCCCCGGCCGCCCGCCAUCCUGGGCGCCCCCGGCCCGGGGCCCGGUCCCGCCCGUAAAUCAGCUCCGUCAGCGUUAAUGGCUCCUGACUAAUUGCCUGGACUUGGGCUCCGGGCUCGGGUCGCCAGCAUUAAAAUUCAAUCAGGCCUAGCGCUAUGCUAUUAAAUAUUCAUUGGGAGAGCUUCCCGAAAUCGGGCUGGGGGAUGGGGACGGACUGGGUUGGAGGGACUACCCGAAUCCUCAGCUCCAGAGGAGGUGCCGCUCCUCCCCAGCGUGCUGUCAGCUUCUGCAGCGGCUGCCGGGCUUCCAUUCGGCUGGGUCUGAUUUCUCUCUGGAGGUCCCUGCGCCCUCUCUAGAGACUUUUGGGAGACUGAGCUGCCCUGCAGAAGGAAUGUUAAGUUAUGCCAAGGGGGCUGUGUCUGCUCAACGCCUGGUCACCUCGCCGCACGACCCUUUACCCAGUGCCCACCAUGAGCUCCUAUUCAUGCUGGAACCUUAGGUCCCACCGGGAGUGGAAGAGCUCCAGGGCACAGAAGGCUUAAUCUUUAGAAGAGCCCCUACUUCCCUGGCCCUACUGCCGGGUUUUUAUGGAGCUACACUGGCCAUCCUCAGCGUGGCUAGAGAGAGCAUCAGUCUGGG
rnacentral:lncRNA from 1 species